AGAGUUUGAUCCUGGCUCAGGACGAACGCUGGCGGCGUGCUUAACACAUGCAAGUCGAACGGAAAGGCCUGCCACUGUGGUGGUGGGUACUCGAGUGGCGAACGGGUGAGUAACACGUGGGUGAUCUGCCCCGCACUGUGGGAUAAGCCUGGGAAACUGGGUCUAAUACCACAUACGACCAUGGCGUAGGGGUCAUGGUGGAAAGCUUUUGCGGUGUGGGAUGAGCCCGCGGCCUAUCAGCUUGUUGGUGGGGUAAUGGCCUACCAAGGCGGCGACGGGUAGCCGGCCUGAGAGGGUGGACGGCCACAUUGGGACUGAGACACGGCCCAGACUCCUACGGGAGGCAGCAGUGGGGAAUAUUGCACAAUGGGCGCAAGCCUGAUGCAGCGACGCCGCGUGGGGGAUGACGGCCUUCGGGUUGUAAACUCCUUUCGCCCGGGACGAAGCCCACCUGGUGGGUGACGGUACCGUGGAGAAGAAGCACCGGCUAACUACGUGCCAGCAGCCGCGGUAAUACGUAGGGUGCAAGCGUUGUCCGGAUUUACUGGGCGUAAAGAGCUCGUAGGUGGUGUGUCGCGUCGUCUGUGAAAUUCCGGGGCUUAACUCCGGGCGUGCAGGCGAUACGGGCACGACUAGAGUGCUGUAGGGGUAACUGGAAUUCCUGGUGUAGCGGUGAAAUGCGCAGAUAUCAGGAGGAACACCGAUGGCGAAGGCAGGUUACUGGGCAGUUACUGACGCUGAGGAGCGAAAGCAUGGGGAGCGAACAGGAUUAGAUACCCUGGUAGUCCACGCCGUAAACGUUGGGCACUAGGUGUGAGGCUCCUUUCCGGGGGUUUUGCGCCGUAGCU
rnacentral:rRNA from 1 species